rnacentral:rRNA from 11 species
UUAAAGAGUGCGUAAUAGCUCACUAGUCAAGCGACUCGGCGUCGAUAAUAAUCGGGCAUAAGUCGGUUACCGAAGCUGUGGGAUUUAACGAUCGGUAGGGGAGCAUUCCAGUCAGCGCAGAAGCAGCGCCCGCGAGGGGCCGUGGAGCGGCUGGAAGCGAAAAUGUAGGCAUGAGUAACGAUAAGAAGGGUGAAAAACCCUUCCACCGUAAACCCAAGGGUUCCUGAUCAACGCUAAUCGGAUCAGGGUUAGUCGAGACCUAAGGUGUACCCGGUGAGGCCGGGGAAGCCGAUGGCAAAGCGGUUAAAUAUUCCGCUACCGAAGCCAGCGUAUGGCUAAGGCGUGACGCAGAAGUGACACUCCCGCGUGCUGACGAAUGCACGUUAAAGGGCGUAGGCCGGGGGGCAGGCAAAUCCGCCUCCCGUUAAGGCUGAACCCCGACAGUACUCGGAUUCUCACGAUGAAGAGAUAGUGGAGGUAAUCAUGCUGCCAAGAAAAGCGUCGUAGUUUGCUGGUUCUCGCUCGUACCCCAAACCGACACAGGUGGGUGAGGAGAGUAUCCUCAGGUGCUCGAGUAAUUCAUGGCUAAGGAACUAGGCAAAUUCGAUCCGUAACUUCGGGAGAAGGAUCCCCUGACUAUGUCAGGGCGCAGUGAAAAGGCCCAAGCGACUGUUUACCAAAAACACAUGUCUCUGCUAAGCCGCAAGGCGAUGUAUAGGGACUGACACCUGCCCGGUGCUGGAAGGUUAAAGAAGGGGGUUAGCUUCGGCGAAGCCCUUGACUGAAGCCCCAGUAAACGGCGGCCGU